rnacentral:RNase_P_RNA from 1 species
CGGGUUGGCCGGAUGGCUGCAGACCGCUUUGCGGUUUGAGGAAAGUCCGUACUCCACAGAGCGCGAAACCGGGGAAAUCCCGGGACGGGGCAACCUGUCAGACAGGGCCACAGAAACAAACCGCCCGUAAGGGUAAGGGUGAAAUGGCGGUGUAAGAGACCACCGGAAACCGCAGUAAUGCGUUUGCCCGGCAACCCUUUUUGGGAGCAAGGUCAAGCAGAGGUGGGUCCAUCCAGGCUGCUCGCCUGACCGGCUUUGCCGGUCACCUCAGGUAGACCGCAUAGAUAGAUAGCCAUCCAGACGUGCAUUGCAUGUCGGACAGAAUACGGCUUACAGGCUGACCCGGUUA